UAGGUUACAGAUGGGCAUGCGUGACAUUAGUUAGUUGGCGGGGUAACGGCCCACCAAGACUACGAUGUCUAGGGGUUCUGAGAGGAAGGUCCCCCACACUGGUACUGAGACACGGACCAG
rnacentral:rRNA from 1 species